rnacentral:rRNA from 1 species
AGCGAACGCUGGCGGCAGGCCUAACACAUGCAAGUCGAACGAACUCUUCGGAGUUAGUGGCGGACGGGUGAGUAACACGUGGGAACGUGCCCUUAGGUUCGGAAUAACUCAGGGAAACUUGUGCUAAUACCGAAUGUGCCCUUCGGGGGAAAGAUUUAUCGCCUUUAGAGCGGCCCGCGUCUGAUUAGCUAGUUGGUGAGGUAAAGGCUCACCAAGGCUACGAGCAGUAGCUGGUCUGAGAGGAUGAACAGCCACAUUGGGACUGAGACACGGCCCAAACUCCUACGGGAGGCAGCAGUGGGGAAUCUUGCGCAAUGGGCGAAAGCCUGACGCAGCCAUGCCGCGUGGAUGAUGAAGGCCUUAGGAUUGUAAAAUCCUUUCACCGGUGAAGAUAAUGACUGUAGCCGGAGAAGAAGCCCCGGCUAACUUCGUGCCAGCCGCCGCCGUAAAAC